AGGGCGUACGGCGAAUGCCUUGCCACUCGAAACUGAAGAAGGACGCGCCAAACUGCGAAAAGCUCCGUGAAGCUGUAAGGAAGCGAAGAAGCGGAGGUGUCCGAAUGGGGGAACCCGGCAGCAGACAUGAGCUGUCAUCUGCAGGUGAAUACAUGGCCUGCAAGAGAGGUACCCGGCGAACUGAAACAUCUAAGUAGCCGGAGGAAAAGAAAACAACAGUGAUUCCCUGAGUAGCGGCGAGCGAAAGGGGAGAAGCCCAAACCGGUUGAAGGACCGGGGUUGAAGGACCAUGACAUGGCAAGAACGAGGAUAGGAGAACGGGAUCGAAAGCCCGGCCGAAGAAGGUGAAAGCCCUGUAACCGAAAUCCGAGUAAAGCCUAAUGGGAUCCUGAGUACGGCGAGACACGAGAAAUCUUGUCGGAAGCAGGCGGGACCAUCCGCCAAGGCUAAAUAUAAACGAGUGAGCGAUAGUGAACCAGUACCGUGAGGGAAAGGUGAAAAGAACCGCGGGAGCGGAGUGAAAGAGAACCUGAAACCGUAUGCCUACAAGAAGUCAGAGCCCGUUAAGGGGUGAUGGCGUGCCUUUUGUAGAAUGAACCGGCGAGUUGCGACAGACUGCGAGGUUAAGGAGGAAAGACCGGAGCCGAAGCGAAAGCGAGUCUUAAGAGGGCGAAAGUAGGAUGUUGCAGACCCGAAACCGGGUGAUCUAGCCAUGAGCAGGUUGAAGUUGAGGUGAAACUCAAUGGAGGACCGAACCGACUACCGUUGAAAAGUUAGCGGAUGACUUGUGGCUAGGGGAGAAAUUCCAAUCGAACCCGGAGAUAGCUGGUUCUCCCCGAAAUAGCUUUAGGGCUAGCGUCGGAAAGAACCUUAGUGAAGGUAGAGCACUGAAUGUGUGAUGGCCCCAUCCCGGGGUACUGAAUACAAUCAAACUGCGAAUGUCAUUAAGGAUGUCCGGCAGUCAGACUGUGAGUGAUAAGGUCCAUGGUCAAGAGGGAAACAGCCCAGACCGCCAGUUAAGGUCCCAAAAUACAGGCUAAGUGGAAAAGGAUGUGGGGAUGCCCAGACAACUAGGAGGUUGGCUCAGAAGCAGCCAUCCUUUAAAGAGUGCGUAACAGCUCACUAGUCGAGUGACCCUGCGCCGAAAAUGUACCGGGGCUAAGCCUGAUACCGAAACUGCGGAUUGUAGGAAACUAUAGUGGUAGGGGAGCGUUGUAUACGAGCAGAAGCCGUACCGUGAGGAGCGGUGGAUUGUAUAGAAGUGAGAAUGCCGGUGUGAGUAGCGAGAUGUAGGUGAGAAUCCUACACACCGAAAGCCCAAGGAUUCCAGGGGAAGGUUCGUCCGCCCUGGGUAAGUCGGGACCUAACGCGAGGCCGAAAGGCGUAGUGGAUGGAAAGCAGGCGAAAGAUUCCUGCACCCGUAUAUGGAGCGAAGGAGUGACGGAGACGGAUAGUGUGACCCUCUUAAUGGAUUGAGGGCGAAGCGAAGCGGCUGGUUACCAGGCAAAUCCGGUAACCAUAAGGCUAGAGCGUGACAGGUAAGCGAAAUCUUCGGAAAGUAGCGAAGCACAUGAUGACGGCUUCCAGGAAAAGCUUCUGGCAAUGCAUAUGCGGCCCGUACCAAAACCGACACAGGUGGGCAGGGAGAGAAUCCCGAGGUGAGCGAGAGAACUGUUGCCAAGGAACUCGGCAAAAUGACUCCGUAAGUUAGCGAGAAGGAGUGCUUAAGCAAUUAAGCCGCAGUGAAGAGGCCCAAGCGACUGUUUAACUAAAACACAGCUCUCUGCGAAGUCGCAAGACGAAGUAUAGGGGGUGACACCUGCCCGGUGCUGGAAGGUUAAGAGGAUCUGUUAAGAGCGAUCUGAAGCAGUGAUCCGAAGCCCCAGUGAACGGCGGCCGUAACUAUAACGGUCCUAAGGUAGCGAAAUUCCUUGUCAGGUAAGUUCUGACCCGCACGAAUGGCGUAAUGAUUUGGGCACUGUCUCAACAGCCCGCCCGGCGAAAUUGUAGUACUGGUGAAGAUGCCAGUUACCCGCAACUAGACGGAAAGACCCCAUGGAGCUUUACUGCAGCUUAAUACUGAAAUUCGGUAGUACAUGUACAGGAUAGGUGGGAGACUGAGAAAUACAGGCGUCAGCUUGUAUGGAGUCGCUGUUGGGAUACCACUCUUGUACUGCUGGGUUUCUAACCUGCGGCCGUGAAUCCGGUCGGGGGACACUGUUAGGCGGGCAGUUUGACUGGGGCGGUCGCCUCCCAAAAGGUAACGGAGGCGCUCAAAGGUUCGUUCAGCACGGACGGAAAUCGUGCAAUGAGUGUAAACGCAUAAACGAGCCUAACUGCGACACCGACGGGUGGAGCAGUAACGAAAGUUGGAGUUAGUGAUCCGGUGGUAUGUGAGUGGAAAUGCCAUCGCUCAACGGAUAAAAGUUACCCUGGGGAUAACAGGCUGAUCUCCCCCAAGAGUCCACAUCGACGGGGA
rnacentral:rRNA from 1 species